rnacentral:sRNA from 1 species
AAUUAAUAUAUUCAAUGUGGUGCAGUAUUCUAGUCAGGGAAAUGCUUUUUGAAGGCGGGGCUAAAAAUCCGCUAAAGGGCACAUCGAUGAAGUUCCUGGUGCUGGCCUUAGAAUGCCCAGUCUUGGGCUUGUGCUGGGAGUUAAAAAAGCUGGGGCACUCGCAAUGGCAUGCGACAAAUGACCCUACUUUUGUGGAGGCCAAUUAUUGUAUAUUGAGAGAGAUAUUCAAUAUACGAAAUUGGGGUAAACCUGCAAUGUGGUGUAAAAGCUAUGUGCAGUGUAGCCUGCCUUGAGUGGUAUGGGGAGAGGAGAUAAACAAGUCAAAAAUUUUAGGCCUAAGUUUUUGUACUAUUGAACUCUGAAACCUAUGUUGCAAAAGAGGCUAAGAAAGCAUCUAACUGUUGAGGAAAACUCCUAGACUGUUUUGGUAAAAUGAGGAUUGCAGUGCGGACUUAGUGGCAAUUCAGUCCUGAAAGUGGCAACACUUCAGCUCGGAUAUUAAAGGGAAACCGCUAUAUGGCGACGUAUAGUUAUUCGUGGGGAAAGCCUACUGAACCUAUGCCGUAAGAUUUACUUAUUUUGUUACCACAUUGAUGUUAUGUUUU